GAUGAACACUGGCGGCGUGCCUAAUACAUGCAAGUCGAGCGAACGGACGAGAAGCUUGCUUCUCUGAUGUUAGCGGCGGACGGGUGAGUAACACGUGGAUAACCUACCUAUAAGACUGGGAUAACUUCGGGAAACCGGAGCUAAUACCGGAUAAUAUUUUGAACCGCAUGGUUCAAAAGUGAAAGACGGUCUUGCUGUCACUUAUAGAUGGAUCCGCGCUGCAUUAGCUAGUUGGUAAGGUAACGGCUUACCAAGGCAACGAUGCAUAGCCGACCUGAGAGGGUGAUCGGCCACACUGGAACUGAGACACGGUCCAGACUCCUACGGGAGGCAGCAGUAGGGAAUCUUCCGCAAUGGGCGAAAGCCUGACGGAGCAACGCCGCGUGAGUGAUGAAGGUCUUCGGAUCGUAAAACUCUGUUAUUAGGGAAGAACAUAUAUGUAAGUAACUGUGCACAUCUUGACGGUACCUAAUCAGAAAGCCACGGCUAACUACGUGCCAGCAGCCGCGGUAAUACGUAGGUGGCAAGCGUUUAUCCGGAAUUAUUGGGCGUAAAGCGCGCGUAGGCGGUUUUUUAAGUCUGAUGUGAAAGCCCACGGCUCAACCGUGGAGGGUCAUUGGAAACUGGAAAACUUGAGUGCAGAAGAGGAAAGUGGAAUUCCAUGUGUAGCGGUGAAAUGCGCAGAGAUAUGGAGGAACACCAGUGGCGAAGGCGACUUUCUGGUCUGUAACUGACGCUGAUGUGCGAAAGCGUGGGGAUCAAACAGGAUUAGAUACCCUGGUAGUCCACGCCGUAAACGAUGAGUGCUAAGUGUUAGGGGGUUUCCGCCCCUUAGUGCUGCAGCUAACGCAUUAAGCACUCCGCCUGGGGAGUACGACCGCAAGGUUGAAACUCAAAGGAAUUGACGGGGACCCGCACAAGCGGUGGAGCAUGUGGUUUAAUUCGAAGCAACGCGAAGAACCUUACCAAAUCUUGACAUCCUUUGACAACUCUAGAGAUAGAGCUUUCCCCUUCGGGGGACAAAGUGACAGGUGGUGCAUGGUUGUCGUCAGCUCGUGUCGUGAGAUGUUGGGUUAAGUCCCGCAACGAGCGCAACCCUUAAGCUUAGUUGCCAUCAUUAAGUUGGGCACUCUAAGUUGACUGCCGGUGACAAACCGGAGGAAGGUGGGGAUGACGUCAAAUCAUCAUGCCCCUUAUGAUUUGGGCUACACACGUGCUACAAUGGACAAUACAAAGGGCAGCGAAACCGCGAGGUCAAGCAAAUCCCAUAAAGUUGUUCUCAGUUCGGAUUGUAGUCUGCAACUCGACUACAUGAAGCUGGAAUCGCUAGUAAUCGUAGAUCAGCAUGCUACGGUGAAUACGUUCCCGGG
rnacentral:rRNA from 1 species